GACUAAGGUUCGGCUCGAGCGUCAGCGAGAGAGCGUUGCCGCAGGCAACGACCCGAAGGGCGAAGCGCGCAGCGCUGAGUAAUCCUUCCCCCACCACCA
rnacentral:sRNA from 1 species